rnacentral:snoRNA from 1 species
UUUUUAUGAUGAUCACCUUAUCAUGUAUGUUUUUUCUGGCAUCUCUAAUGUUAGACUUGUUUAAUUACCGGUCAAUGAAUACAACUUUUUUGACAAUUAUCUGAUA